ensembl:lncRNA
GGAACUUGACCAUAAGAGCUGUUUUGACUUUGGCUGUUUGUGGGCAUGCUCUUUUCAAAGGACAGAGAGCAGCUGUGCUGUGGACACCUUCUUGGGAAAAGACCAGAGCUUAAUUCCUUGCACUGCUACUGACUUCAGUGAGUGGGCAAAUCAGCUAAGCUCCAUUCACCUUGCUUUCCUCUAGAAUGGGAAAUGUGCAGUCCCUUAACCUGCACUGCAUGGACUUGUGACAGACUUUCUUUUUCAGAUACAAUAAAAGUAAAUGCUACCUAAGCACAGGAAAUACAAGUUUAGCAUUUUUCCAGUUUGCUUUAGUCUUUCUUAUUUUUUGGGGGGAAGAACUGAAGCCAAUUUCACUACACCCACCAGCCUUUAAUCUUUGUCCUAGGUCUUUCUUCAGGAUUUUUAACUGAUUUUUAUCAUGCGUGUAUUGCACUGAACUUACUGGCAAGAUUUUCUUCUGCCUACGUAGAGUGCUGGGUCCUAUAAAUAGGAUUUCAUAUGGCAUGCUCUGUGGUCUCUGUCACUAGUUUUGUGUAGGGAAAUGAGGUUAAUGCUGAUGUAAAAGUAAUCAAUUAAUUGUAAACUAUUAUCUACAGGAGUGUGGGAGGGAUGAGAAGCAGUGAUAGAAGGCAGCUUCUUCUCUGCAAACAGAUGAAAGGUGCAAAGCAGACAUCUUGAAGAGUCGACAUUUUAAGCACUGUAAGCCUGCAGGGAGAGAUAGGAUCGCUUUUGAGAUGUACCUGGAAAAAAAACCCAUCAGACAAGCUUUAGAGCAUACAAGUUGGGUGGAGAAUGGCUUGUGAGCAGCCCUGAGGAGGAUUUGGGAGUGUCAGUUGAUGAAAGAUUCAAUGUGAGCCAGCAAUACGUGCUUGCAAGGCCAAUGGUAUCCUGGGUUGCAUCAAGAGAAGUGUGACCAGCAGGUUGAGGAAGGUGAUUCUGCCUCUCUGCUCUGGUGAGACCCCACCUGGAGAACCCCCAGCACAAGAAGGACAUGGAGUUAUGGGAGGAGGCCCAGAGGAGGGCUAUUAAAGUGAUCAGAGGCCUGGAGUGCCUCCCCUACGAGGACAGGCUGAGAGAGCUGGGGCUCUUCAGCCUGGAG